rnacentral:rRNA from 1 species
AGAGUUUGAUCCUGGCUCAGGAUGAACGCUAGCUACAGGCUUAACACAUGCAAGUCGAGGGGAACGACAUCGAAAGCUUGCUUUUGAUGGGCGUCGACCGGCGCACGGGUGAGUAACGCGUAUCCAACCUGCCCAUCACUUGGGGAUAACCCUGCGAAGUAGACUAAUACCCAAUGAUAUCUCUAGAAGGCAUCUGAAAGAGAUUAAAGAUUUAUCGGUGAUGGAUGGGGAUGCGUCUGAUUAGCUUGUUGGCGGGGUAACGGCCACCAAAGCAACGAUCAGUAGGGGGUUCUGAGAGGAAGGUCCCCCCACAUUGGAACUGAGACACGGUCCAAAACUCCUACGGGAGGCA